UAGUGUGAAUUGCAGAAUUCAGUGAAUCAUCGAAUCUUUGAACGCAAAUGGCGCUCUUGGGUUCUCCCAGGAGCAUGUCUGUCUGAGUGUCUAUUCAAACACCCAUCGUGCGAAUCCGCGUGCGCGCGUCCGCCUGGUCCCCGUCUGUAGCGGAUGGGGCCGGGACGCGCCCGCCGUGAACGGGUUCGUGCGGCGUUGAGGGUCGCGGUCGAGAUGACCGGUCGUGUGCUAGCCUUGGUGCUCGGCCCGACCGGUCGGUUUACCGCGUCCCUUGAAAUUCAGGGAGAAAGAUCCGCCAAGCGACAUCCGGUGUCGCGCGGGGAUCAUAGAACAAGAUACCCUAAACGGCCACGGCUCUAUCGCUUUGACGGAACAAAUCUUUCUCCAUUCGAUUCUUUUUUCUGCUGCCGCCGGGUAGCGGUGGCGGCAUCUCAAAGGAAAAAAGGAAUCGCCUUCCAGACCUCAGAUCAGGCAAGGCUACCCGCUGAAUUUAAGCAUAUUAAUAAGCGGAGGAAAAGAAACUAACAAGGAUUCCCCCAGUAACGGCGAGUGAAGCGGGAAGAGCUCAAAUUUGAAAUCUCCGAUGCUUGCAUCGGCGAGUUGUAGUUGCGAGAAGCACUUUCUAGGCGGAGGGGCCCUGCCUAAGUUGCUUGGAACGGCACGUCGCAGAGGGUGACAACCCCGUCUGUGGCAGGGCCGGCCGCCCACGAUGUGCUUUCGAAGAGUCGGGUUG
rnacentral:rRNA from 1 species